AGCAGUGGGGAAUAUUGCACAAUGGGCGCAAGCCUGAUGCAGCCAUGCCGCGUGUGUGAAGAAGGCCUUCGGGUUGUAAAGCACUUUCAGUCGUGAGGAAGGUAGUGUAGUUAAUAGCUGCAUUAUUUGACGUUAGCGACAGAAGAAGCACCGGCUAACUCCGUGCCAGCAGCCGCGGUAAUACGGAGGGUGCGAGCGUUAAUCGGAAUUACUGGGCGUAAAGCGCAUG
rnacentral:rRNA from 1 species